rnacentral:piRNA from 1 species
UCCUUAGGAUGUCCUCGCAUGGAGGUGGU